GUCAUGAUUAAUUCAGCUCUGACCAUCCAGUGUUCACGAUUCGCUGCUUCUCAUUUGGACUGAACAAAGUCAUUCAGAUGUUUUUUCGUGAGUGAAGGAUUUUUGGCAGAAUUGUUUGUUUUUUACAUUGAUUCCUUGCAGAGAGAACGAACCCCAUGAACAAAAACACGUCAUGAGAUAUUCAAGCAGAGACGUGGAACUUUCCAGAAGCUUCUGUGAGGAAUAACCAGACAUCAUUGAAUAUCUUACGUGACGUGGAACUUUCCAAAAGCUUCUGUAAUGGAAAACCAUUGUGACAGUAAC